rnacentral:rRNA from 1 species
UGCCAGACUCCUACGGGAGGCAGCAGUGGGGAAUAUUGCACAAUGGGGGGAACCCUGAUGCAGCGACGCCGCGUGGGUGAAGGAGCACCUCGGUGCGUAAAGCCCUAUCGGCAGGGAAGAAAAGCGAACAGGUUCGCCUGGACGGUACCUGACUAAGAAGCCCCGGCUACCUACGUGCCAGCAGCCGCGGGAAUACGUAGGGGGCAAGCGUUAUCCGGAUUCACUGGGUGUAAAGGGAGCGUAGACGGCGACGCAAGUCUGGAGUGAAAGCCCGGGGCCCAACCCCGGGACUGCUUUGGAAACUGCCAUGCUGGAGUGCUGGAGAGGUAAGCGGAAUUCCUAGUGUAGCGGUGAAAUGCGUAGAUAUUAGGAGGAACACCAGUGGCGAAGGCGGCUUACUGGACAGUAACUGACGUUGAGGCUCGAAAGCGUGGGGAGCAAACAGGAUUAGAUACCCUUGUAU